UUCAACUUUUGUGAAUGGCAACUCAUUUAGUCAUUGGCACUGCUGGUAAACCAAACCACAACUUCUAUUUCAUUUUAUACAGUUCCAACAGCAUCAAACCACUGUGGCUCUCUGAGAUCUGUUGUAGUUGCUUGCGGUCUGAAACACGAUUGAAAUUGUAAAAAAAAAAGUAAAUUUAAUAUUAUUGGAGAAUGGUUAAGAACAUUUAUUUUUAGCCCAUGGCCCUCAAACAACUGAAAGCCCACAAGACCAUGACAUCAUUUUGCAUUGACAUUGCUCCCCAGAAUUUUACGGCUCAUGUGAUUGGGUAAAAAAAGUGGUUCCAUGAAAAAAAUUGUCAGAUUUCAAAUGGCAAACUUCUUGCAGCAGCCGAGCAACUGCCACUGAGAUGAAUGGCAAUGCUAACGGAUUGCUUUCUGCAGGUAUUACAGACCUCCUUGAUUAGCUUGUUCAGUUGUGUUUGGUAAGUUUUGGAGCAAAACUCUGCAGAAUGGUGGCCCUCCAGGAGCAGAUUUGAAAAGCAUUACAAUCCACUAUUACACGGCUUAGACAUUACUAAUCACACAGUACUGAGGAUUACUACUAUUCAAAUCACUAAUGUAUCCUAUUUGCCUUUCAGUCCUAGUCAUUAUGUUGUGAUUAUUAAUCGUGUAUUUACUGAUAGCGAACCCCAUUUUUCAUCUCUUUCCCUUCAUUUUAAGUAAAGGACGACGUAAAUGAAAUGAAUGGUACUUCUUCUGUUCGUCAGUGCUUAAAAAUGCUGCUUGUGCUCGGAAUGGAAAUGGCUGAUGAAAAAAAUUGUAGGAUAGACAGGGGGAUGGGACAGAAUGAGGGAGAGAAAGGGAAUAGAGGACAGAAAACAAGGUGGGGGGAGAACUUGUUUACUGAACCCAAAGACAUGAACCUGUCAACCCCAUUAUUCAGAGUUUGAAUAUAAUAGGCACUUCAUUGCUUCUCAAAUCAACACACACACUGAUUAAAUCUUGCUGCGAGAAGCGCUGAGGCUGACCAGAACCUCUCAGAGCUGUCAGCAUACACAUAAAUACUCAUAUAUAAAAAAUAUACAAUACAUUUGCAGUUAUUAGCUCUUUUAUUACAAUACCUCAGAUAUUGGGCAAGUUGCAUACAUAGCCACUAUAUUAAGACUGUCUUAAGGAAUAAUUUGACUUACUUUUUUCAUUCAAACUAAACCAGUCUACCAUUUUUUUAACUGAUUUUAAAAAGUUAUGACCAGUCUAGAAGAAAACAAAUUAUAUGACUAACAUUUUAAGCAGUUUAUGCAACAGGCCCAAUGUUUCUAUAAAAGGCAAAAAUGCCCCAAAAUGUAAUAUCCAGAUUGUGUUUUUGACUCAUUCUGAGUGACUGAUAUUCAUGAAGGAGAAAGGGAAAUUGGUAAAGGUUCUCUGUAAUAAUGGUUAUUCACAAAGCCUAAUGGAUCAAAGGCUACUGAAUUGU
ensembl:lncRNA